GGGUUGUGAGGUUAAGCGACUAAGCGUACACGGUGGAUGCCCUGGCAGUCAGAGGCGAUGAAGGACGUGCUAAUCUGCGAAAAGCGUCGGUAAGGUGAUAUGAACCGUUACAGCCGGCGAUGUCCGAAUGGGGAAACCCAGUGCAAUUCGUUGCACUAUCGUUAACUGAAUACAUAGGUUAACGAGGCGAACCGGGGGAACUGAAACAUCUAAGUACCCCGAGGAAAAGAAAUCAACCGAGAUUCCCCCAGUAGCGGCGAGCGAACGGGGAGCAGCCCAGAGUCUGAAUCAGCUUGU
rnacentral:rRNA from 1 species